rnacentral:lncRNA from 1 species
AUGUUCUUUAUUUUGCUCCUUUUUUGCUAUUUUUUUAAGAUUAAUUUUUAAUUGGAGGAAAACUGCUUUAUAAUGUUGUGUUGGUUUCUGCCAUACAAAAAUGCAAAUCAGCCAUGAUUGUACAUAUAUCACCUUCCUCUUGAGCCUCCCUCCCCUCUGCCCCCACCCCACCUCUCUAGGUCAUCACAGAAUCCAGGCUGGGCUCCCUGUGUCAUACAGCAACUUCUCACCAGUUUAUUUUACACAUGGUAGUCUAUAUAUGUCGAUGCUACCUUCUUCCAUUCAUUGCACUCUCUCCUUCCCCCACUGUGUCCACAAGUCCAUUCUUCCAUACCUGAGUCUCAUUCCUUCCCUGCAAGUAGGUUUACCAGUACCGUUUUUCUAGAUCCCAUAUAUAUGCAUUAAUAUGAAGUAUUUAUUUUUCUGUUUCUGACUGACUUUGUAUAACAGGCUCUAGGUUCAUCCACCUCGCUAGAACUGACUCAAAUUUGUUCAUUUGUUUGGCUGAGUAAUAUUCCAUUGUAUAUAUGAACCACAAUUUCUUUAUCCAUUCAUCUAUUGAUGGAGAUCUAGCUUACUUCCACGUCCUAGCUAUUGUGCUGCUAUGAACACUGGAGUACAUGUGUCUUUUUCAUUUAUAUUUUCUCAAGGUAUGUGCCCAGUAAUGAGAUUGCUGGGUCAUAUGGUAGUUUAUUUCUAGUUUUUUAAGGAAUCUCCAUACUGUUCUCCAUAGUGGCUGUAUCAAUUUACAUCCCACCAAUAGUGCAGAGGGUUCCCUUUUAUCUACCUCCUCUCCAGCGUUUAUCGCUUGCAGAUUCUUUUUAAUGUUGACCUUUCUGACUAGUGCGAGGUGAUUCCUCUUAUAACACCCGUUUUGUGGUUUUCACUGAUUUGGAAUGUUGGAGAUUAAUGCACUGCUUACUGCAAGAUCCCUAGGCUCUCAUAUAAGACAUCUAUGUGUACAUUGUGAUAAAGUAAGGAAAGGGGAAAAUGAAAUUACCAAGUUUAAUCACAAAAUACAGCUACAUCCCCUCUUGCUUUUCCCUCUUAAAAGCAUGAGUAGUGACCACAGUGAUGGUACUUGUGAUGGCUUCUGGAUGCUGGUCCACUGCCACAUUUAUCAACUUUUCUCCCUUCUUCCUUCAUUAAAGAACAGCAAUGAUCUUCAUCAGUGGCAAGUUUUGGAUUUCAGUACCUUUGACUUUAGGAAAAGAGCUGUACAGCUACUACCAACAUCACUCAUUUUGCUAAUGUCUCCUAAUCAAACCAGAAAUAUGUAACAGCCUCAGUAGCCCAGAGAAAGUAGGAAGGUAAGGAAAUUUGGUGAUGUCCUUUCUUAGAGCUAAAAAAUGGAAUAAUGGUUUCUUGAGUCCUCUUCUGGUUGGUAACAAAACCACCUAUUCCUUUACUCUGGCUGGUAGAGAAGGCACUUUCCU